AUACCUUUCUCGACCUUUUGGCUAAGAUUAAAUGUAGUAUCUGUUCUUAUCAAUUUAAUAUCUGAUAAUGGAUAAAAGAAGACCACCACAAAAAUUAGGAUAAUGAUAAUGGAUAAAUUGAAGACCAUAAGAAAUUUUUAUUUCUUUUUGGAUUCAAACUUGAGAUCUCCAGACACUUUUGACCUUUGGAGUCCAAG